rnacentral:lncRNA from 1 species
UUUGCUUUGGUGUUUAAGGCGAGAGAAGCAGAUUCGUCACGUCUUGGUAGAAUAGAGUUCCGACGUAUCAAAUCUUAUCGAAAGGUAAUAAAUUUUGGUAGGUUUGUUCUUAAGGCGUGUACGUUGAUUCUCCUUUUUACGGAAGUGAAUUCGGAUUAAUACUCAGUGAGUUAUAUGCAGUUUGGUGAGACUCGUUUUCUCUAUUGCGAACUGGGAUCAGCGGUUAACGGUUAGUUUNNNNNNNNNNNNNNNNNNNNNNNNNNNNNNNNNNNNNNNNNNNNNNNNNNNNNNNNNNNNNNNNNNNNNNNNNNNNNNNNNNNNNNNNNNNNNNNNNNNNUUUCUGCGGCUGUAGUUUUUUUGCUGUUUUUGUCCUUUUGGUUCUUAGAGAUUUUUGUUUGUGUGGUUUGUUGUAGGGCGUUGUUUGGAUGUUGCAGUCGCGAGGAGAGUCUUUCCUGGUUGUUUUUGUAGUUCAAAUCACCUUGUUAAGGUGAGUGCGUGACCAUGAGCUUAUCUAAGCGAUUGGAUUGAGUGAUUUAUUGUUUGAUGAUUUGUAGGUAACUAGAUGUGUUAUUGGAUGUUUAGCUUGCUGGAUGGUUUGUUUUUGUCAUAUAUGUGGGUGUUAUCUCAUUGCUUAUGUGUAUAGCUCGUAGAUGGGAGGAUCAUCCUCACUAAGUAUUUAUGAAAUACUUAUGCAUCUCUUUCUUUGAUGUAGGUAAAAGCAAAGUGUGAUCCGUGGAAUCAUGGCGAGGAGAGGAGGAUGAUCUAGGCACUCAUUGGUGUUUUAGAUUAUUGUUGGAUUUGUUAGGGUGUUAGAAUGGAAUUUAGAAACAUGUUAGGAUGACCAUGUUUUGGAAUAAUGUUUGGUUGAACUUGUUGGUUUAAUGGAAUUGUUUUAUUGGAUUUUUGGUUAAGUCUUCCGCUGGAUAAUAUUGUUGGUUUACUUUAAUGAGAUUGCUUGGUUUAAUUGAUUUAAAUUAUUAUGGCCGGUUUAGCUGGUUCGAAUUAAAAGGGUUAAUCCGGUUUGCAUGUUUAAAAGAAAAAAAAAAUGGGAUGGGUUCUUUCAAUUUGGUAUCAGAGCAUUUACGGUUCUAGGACGAGAUUUAAUUGGUAAAAAUUGUGAUGUGAUGUGUGAAUUUCAUUGAUGAGGAAUGAUGAUGUGGAUUGCAUGCUGAUUGAGUGUGUGUUUAAUCAAUUGUGUGAGCAUGGAGACCUAGAUCAUCCUCUCGAGCCUUCAAUGAGAUUCCAGGGUAAGUUGUGUCGUUUGGUGAUUUGUUUGGUGUUCUUAGCCUUCUGUUGUAUUGCAGAUGGUUAGAGGNNNNNNNNNNNNNNNNNNNNNNNNNNNNNNNNNNNNNNNNNNNNNNNNNNNNNNNNNNNNNNNNNNNNNNNNNNNNNNNNNNNNNNNNNNNNNNNNNNNNUGGUCGUGGGCGUGGUCGUGGUAGGGGGCGUGGUGUUGCCUCGGGUAGCGACAUGAGUGUGGGCCGGAAUGCUACGGCCGAUUUUGUUAGUGAGUCCCAGUCGCAUUAGGACGGGCCCGUGGAUGGUGAGAGUGUGAGUGCCGUGGGAGCCGGUUCGUCCGGAAACGGUACUAGUGUUGUUGGAAACCCAGUUAGGGGUGUUCCAACAGGUGAAGCCCAGGGUCAGAAUGAUCGGCUUGCGGAUUUACUGACGCAGCUCUUGGAGCGGUUACCAGGUGUGGUACCGCCGGUGCAGGCUCCUGUUGGGCCUGAGUUGCAGGCUCCUGUCAGGCCUGAGGUGCAGGCUUCUCUUGGGCCUGGUGUGCAUCCUGUUGGACUUGGUGUGCAGCCUGUUGUUGGGGUUGUACCGCCUGAGGUGGUAGGUGCGGUGGUCGAGCAGCCAUACUACCUGCGGAUGUUGGAGCAGCUGCAAAGGUUCGGGAUGUCCUUGUUCUUCGGAGGUUCCGACCCGGCUGUAGCGGAUGAGUGGCGGGUGCGAUUGGAGCGGUAUUUCCAGUUGAUGAGGUGCCCAAAGGCGUAUUGGGUGGACCUAGCGGCCCACUACUUGACGGGUGAUGCACAUUUGUGGUGGCGGAGUGUGCUGGCCAAGAGGGGGCAGGGAUUGGCGGUGUGGGGAGAUUUCUUGUCAGAGUUUAAUGCCAAGUAUUUUCCGGCGGAGGUACUGGACCGGAUGGAGUCGCAGUUCCUGGCGUUGACUCAGGGCGAGCGGUCGGUGCGGGAGUACGACUUGGAGUUCAGCCGACUUUUGGUGUACUCGGGGCGUGCGGGAGAUCCUGAGCAGAUGCAGGUGCGUCUCAACCCUGAUAUGAGGGUGCGGUGCAAGGUGCGGGCCUAUGCGUCGCGUGUGGAGCUGGUUGAGGUGGCGGCGGGGAUCGAGGACGAGUUGAGGAGUCACAGGGUGAUUCCUACUCCUUCGGCGCAAACGAAGAAGACCCAGCCGCAGUCGGUUCCGAGAAGAGGUGGUAAACCUGCUCAGGGACAGAAGAGGAAGUGGGAUGACACUUCUAGGGUGAGUCAGGGUGAUCGGAGGUGCUUCAGGUGUGGGAGCACAAAUCACAGGGUAGCGAGCUGUCCGAAGAAGGGCGAGCCGUGGGUGGAUACCCGUAUCUGUUAUCACUGCAGAGAGACGGGGCACAUCAAGACGAGGUAUCCUAAGUUGCUGCAGAUGACGGUAGCAGCGGUGCAGCCGGUGAUGCAGCCAGUGGUGCACCAGUGGGUGCCGCCAGGAUUGCAGCUGGCAGGGCAGUCGUUGGCUCAGCUGGGAGCACCGCCGGUGGCACAGAUCGAGGGAUCGAGGGGGUAUAUGACCAUGGAGACAGGAGAGUCAAGCACUGGACGGCCGAUCACAGGUUUAAUUCUGUGACUCAUUCUGUUUCCUUCCGUUGUUUUAGAAUUUGUGUUGUUUUCCUGUGAUGUUGGGGUGGGCAGUCUUAGUGAAAAGGGUUUGUGUAGGGACCUUGUUGGUGGGCGGAUUCUUGUCCCACUUGAUGUUUGAUUCUGGAGCUACGAAUAGCUUCAUUACCCCAGAGUGCGCGACGGGUGGUAACAUCCGAAGAGAUCCCGAUGGUUGUUAUGGAGCCGUUAGAGUCGCAGGAGGCGCUUUGCUAGCGGUUCAGGGGCGGGCUAGUGGUGUGGAUGUACAGAUUGCGGGAGAGUCGAUGCCGGGAGAUCUGUACAUUAGUUCGGUGGAGUUGUAUGAUGUAAUUCUGGGUAUGGAUUGGUUGGAGCGGCGCAAAGUUCAUUUGGAUUGUCACCGGGGGAGAGUAUACUUCGAGCGUCCCGGACCGAAGAUGUAUUUCCAGGGUGUGAGACCGAUUUCGGAGAGUUUAGUGAUUUCAGCGAUUCAGGCGGAUAAGAUGAUCCGAAAGGGACGAGAAGCUUAUUUGGCUACGAUUGUCAUGCCAGAGACAGUCGAUGAGGUAGCAGUGGAUAAGAUCCGGGUGGUCCAGGAGUUCGAGGAUGUGUUUCAGUCGUUAAAGGGGUUACCACCAUCUCGGUCUGAUCCCUUCACGAUUGAGUUGGAGCCCGGGACAACGCCGUUGUCUAAGGCUCCAUACCGGAUGGCUCCAGCAGAGAUGGCUGAGCUGAAGAAACAGUUGGAGGAUCUGCUGGGUAAGUGUUUCACCGUGGAGAGAACCAGUGUUGUUCGUUAAGAAGAAGGAUGGGAGUUUCCGGCUGUGUAUCGAUUAUCGGGGACUUAACCGAGUCAAAGUGAAGAACAAUUAUCCUUUGCCGCGGAUUGACGAGUUGUUGGACCAGUUGAGGGGAGCUACGUGGUUUUCUAAGAUUGAUUUGGCGUCGGGUUACCAUCAGAUUCCUAUCGACGAGGCGGAUAUCCGUAAAACGGCGUUCAAGACGAGGUAUGGGCAUUAUGAGUUUGUGGUGAUGCCUUUCGGGUUGACUAAUGCACCAGCGGCAUUCAUGAGGCUGAUGAACAGCGUGUUCCAGGCGUUUCUAGAUGAGUUUGUUAUCAUCUUCAUUGAUGAUAUCCUGGUGUAUUCUAAGAGUCCUGAGGAGCACGAGGUACACUUGCGGGCAGUGUUGGAGAAGCUGCGUGAGCAGAAGCUGUAUGCUAAGCUGAGCAAGUGCAGUUUCUGGCAGAGAAAGAUAGGUUUUCUGGGUCAUAUCGUGUCUGCAGAGGGAGUUUCUAUGGAUCCAGAGAAGAUUGAGGCUAUCAGAGAUUGGCCUAGACCGUAGAAUGCCACAGAGAUACAGAGUUUUCUAGGAUUGGCGGGUUACUACAAACGGUUUUGUGAAGGGCUUUGCCAGUACAGCUCAGCCAAUGACCAAGCUGACGGGGAAGGAUGUUCCUUUUGUGUGGACUCCUGAGUGUGAGCAGGGUUUCGCUCAACUCAAGGAGAUGUUGACGAGUACGCCAGUUUUGUCUUUACCGGAGCAGGGAGAGCAGUAUGUGGUGUACACGGACGCUUCGGGAGUUGGAUUGAGUUGUGUGUUGAUGCAGCAGGGUAAGGUGAUCGCCUAUGUUUCGAGGCAGUUGCGGAAGCAUGAGGGCAACUACUCUACUCAUGAUUUGGAGAUGGCAGCGGUGGUCUUUGCUCUGAAGAUUUGGAGAUCUUAUCUGUAUAGAGCGAAGGUUCAUGUGUUUACAGAUCAUAAGAGUCUGAAGUAUAUAUUCACGCAGCCUGAGUUGAACUUGAGGCAGAGGCGCUGGAUGGAGUUGGUUGCAGACUAUGAUUUGGAGAUAGCUUACCAUCCCGGUAAGGCUAAUCUGGUUGUAGAUGCUCUGAGCCGAAAGCGAGCGGCUUCAGCUCGAGGGCAGGAUAUGGAGACCUUGGUGGGAGAACUUAGCACCUUGCAGUUGUGUGCUAUUUCUCAGGAGCCACCAGGGUUAGAAGCAGCUAACCGAGCAGACCUUCUGACCAGAGUUCGAGCAGCUCAGGAGAAGGAUGCAGGGCUANNNNNNNNNNNNNNNNNNNNNNNNNNNNNNNNNNNNNNNNNNNNNNNNNNNNNNNNNNNNNNNNNNNNNNNNNNNNNNNNNNNNNNNNNNNNNNNNNNNNAAUGCUUCUAAGGAUACUGAGUCAGAGUAUCAGGUUGCAGCCAAUGGGACUAUCCUUGUGCAUGGGCGAGUUUGUGUGCCCAAGGAUGAGGAGUUGAGACUAGAGAUCUUGAGUGAGGCUCAUGCGAGUAGGUUCUCUAUUCAUUCAGGAGCGACCAAGAUGUACCGAGAUCUGAAGCGGUAUUAUCAUUGGGUCGGGAUGAAGAGGGACGUAGCUAAAUGGGUCUCUGAGUGCGAUGUAUGUUAGCUAGUGAAGGCUGAGCAUCAGGUGCCGAGUGUAUUAUUGCGGAGUCUCCCUAUUCCGGAGUGGAAAUGGGACAUGAUCACGAUGGAUUUCGUGGUAGGGUUGCCAAUGUCUCGGUUCAAGGAUGCCAUUUGGGUCAUUGUGGACCGUUUGACUAAGUCUGCACAUUUCUUGGCUAUCAAGAAAACCGAUGGAGCGGCAGUGCUAGCUAAGAAGUAUGUGCAGGAGAUUGUGAGACUUCAUGGAGUACCGGCCAGUAUUGUGUCAGACCGGGAUUCAAAGUUCACUUCGGCGUUCUAGAAGGCUUUCCAGAAGGAGAUGGGUACUAAGGUGCAUUUAAGCACGGCUUACCACCCUUAGACGGACGGGCAGUCUGAGCGGACCAUCAGACACUUGAGGAUUUGUUGAGGAUGUGUGUGUUAGACUGGGGUGGACAGUGGGCAGAUCACUUGAGCUUGGUGGAGUUUGCUUAUAAUAAUAGCUACCAGGCGAGUAUUGGGAUGGCUCCUUAUGAGGCGUUGUAUGGGAGGCCAUGUCGGACACCUCUAUGCUGGACUCAAGUGGGGGAGAGGAGCAUUUAUGGUGCGGAUUUUGUUCAGGAGACUUCAGAGAAGAUUCGGGUUCUGAAGCUGAACAUGAGAGAGGCGCAGGAUCGGCAAAAGUGUUAUGCUGAUAAGAACCGUAAGGAGUUGGAGUUUGAGGUUGGAGAUAUGGUGUAUCUCAAGAUGGCGAUGUUGCGUGGUCCUAACAGGUCCCUUACCGAGACUAAGCUGAGUCCGAGGUUUAUGGGUCCUUUCAGGAUUGUGGAGCGGGUUGGACCAGUGGCCUAUCGGUUGGAGUUACCUGAGGUAAUGCAUGCAUUUCAUAAGGUAUUCCACGGGUCGAUGCUGAGGAAGUGUCUUCACAAGGAUGAUGAGGUGUUGGCUACGAUCCCGGCAGAUCUUCAGCCUAGUAUGACCUUGGAGGCGAGGCCAGUGAGGGUUCUCGAGAGGCGGGUAAAGGAAGUUCGACGUAAAAAGAUUCCUUUGAUGAGAGUCCAGUGGGACUGUGAUGGAGUCUUGGAGGAGAAUUGGGAGCCAGUGGCCAGGAUGAAGGCAAGAUUCCGGAAGUGGUUUGACAAGCAAGUUGAGCAGUAGACCGUUGGCUUGUUUUGUUUUAAGUUUUGAUUUGGUUGUAUCUCUUUUGUAUUUUCAUUUUUGGUGUAAUGAUUAUGACAUUGGAGAUUAAUAAGAUGAGUCUUUCUUGGAUUUGACUUGUUGUGUUAUGUGUAAGAGAAAUAUGUGCGAGUUUCUAAAAAUAGAAAGUGUCGGGUUUGACAGUUCUAUUUUUGGAAAGUCUCGGGAUGGUGGUUAGUAUAGCAUUGCGAUGCUAUAAGUGAACCACACGUGAGGUAUAUCAGAUCGAGAGUAGAGUCGGUUUAAUUCCGGUUGAUUUCCUAAACUGGUCGAUUUGUUUAAUUGAAUCAAAGGAGGUUUAAUUAAAGUCGGUUUAGGUAAAUUCUGUUUUAAUCAGAAUUAAACCAAAAACCCUAGUUUUAUAAAGAAAGCUUCUUCUCUCUUUUGUUUUGUGGCUGUUGUUUCUAAGAGUUGAGUUGAGAAAAAGAGAAGGAGAAGUUUACUUGUGAGAAGGAGAGUGUUAGCUUUGCUUUGGUGUUUAAGGCGAGAGAAGCAGAUUCGUCACGUGUUGGUAGAAUAGAGUUCCGACGUAUCAAAUCUUAUCGAAAGGUAAUAAAUUUUGGUAGGUUUGUUCUUAAAGCGUGUACGUUGAUUCUCCUUUUUACGGAAGUGAAUUCGGAUUAAUACUCAGUGAGUUAUAUGCAGUUUGGUGAGACGCGUUUUCUCUAUUGCGAACUGGGAUCAGCGGUUAACGGUUAGUUUAUGUUUUAGGGCUUCGUUUCUGCGGCUGUAGUUUUUUUGCUGUUUUUGUCCUUUUGGUUCUUAGAGAUUUUUGUUUGUGUGGUUUGUUGUAGGGCGUUGUUUGGAUGUUGCAGUCGCGAGGAGAGUCUUUCCUGGUUGUUUUUGUAGUUCAAAUCACCUUGUUAAGGUGAGUGCGUGACCAUGAGCUUAUCUAAGCGAUUGGAUUGAGUGAUUUAUUGUUUGAUGAUUUGUAGGUAACUAGAUGUGUUAUUGGAUGUUUAGCUUGCUGGAUGGUUUGUUUUUGUCAUAUAUGUGGGUGUUAUCUCAUUGCUUAUGUGUAUAGCUCGUAGAUGGGAGGAUCACCCUCAUUAAGUAUUUAUGAAAUAAUCUCUUUCUUUGAUGUAGGUAAAAGUAAAGUGUGAUCCGUGGAAUCAUGGCGAGGAGAGGAGGAUGAUCUAGGCACUCAUUGGUGUUUUAGAUUAUUGUUGGAUUUGUUAGGGUGUUAGAAUGGAAUUUAGAAACAUGUUAGGAUGACCAUGUUNNNNNNNNNNNNNNNNNNNNNNNNNNNNNNNNNNNNNNNNNNNNNNNNNNNNNNNNNNNNNNNNNNNNNNNNNNNNNNNNNNNNNNNNNNNNNNNNNNNNCUUUCAAUUUGGUAUCAGAGCAUUUACGGUUCUAGGACGAGAUUUAAUUGGUAAAAAUUGUGAUGUGAUGUGUGAAUUUCAUUGAUGAGGAAUGAUGAUGUGGAUUGCAUGCUGAUUGAGUGUGUGUUUAAUCAAUUGUGUGAGCAUGGAGACCUAGAUCAUCCUCUCGAGCCUUCAGUGAGAUUCCAGGGUAAGUUGUGUCGUUUGGUGAUUUGUUUGGUGUUCUUAGCCUUCUGUUGUGUUGCAGAUGGUUAGAGGUGGAGCUGUCGGUCGUGGUCGUGGUCGUGGGCGUGGUCGUGGUAGGGGGCGUGGUGUUGCCUCGGGUAGCGACACGAGUGUGGGCCGGAAUGCUACGGCCGAUUUUGUUAGUGAGUCCUAGUCGCAUUAGGACGGGCCCGUGGGUGGUGAGAGUGUGAGUGCCGUGGGAGCCGGUUCGUCCGGAAACGGUACUAGUGUUGUUGGAAACCCAGUUAGGGGUGUUCCAACAGGUGCAGCCCAGGGUCAGAAUGAGCGGCUUGCGGAUUUACUGACGCAGCUCUUGGAGCGGUUACCAGGUGUGGUACCGCCGGUGCUGGCUCAUGUUGGGCCUGAGUUGCAGGCUCCUGUCAGGCCUGAGGUGCAGGCUCCUCUUGGGCCUGGUGUGCAUCCUGUUGGGCUUGGUGUGCAGCCUGUUGUUGGGGUUGUACCGCCUGAGGGGGUAGGUGCGGUGGUCGAGCAGCCAUACUACCUGCGGAUGUUGGAGCAGCUGCAACGGUUCGGAUGUCCUUGUUCUUCGGAGGUUCCGACCUGGCUGUAGCGGAUGAGUGGCGGGUGCGAUUGGAGCGGUAUUUCCAGUCGAUAAGGUGCCCAGAGGCGUAUUGGGUGGACCUAGCGGCCCACUACUUGACGGGUGAUGCACAUUUGUGGUGGCGGAGUGUGCUGGCCAAGAGGGGGCAGGGAUUGGCGGUGUGGGGAGAUUUCUUGUCAGAGUUUAAUGCCAAGUAUUUUCCGGCGGAGGUACAUGACCGGAUGGAGUCGCAGUUCCUGGCGUUGACUCAGGGCGAGCGGUCGGUGCGGGAGUACGACUUGGAGUUCAGCCGACUUUUGGUGUACUCGGGGCGUGCGGGAGAUCCUGAGCAGAUGCCGGUGCGUCGGUUCAUGAAGGGUCUCAGCCCUGAUAUGAGGGUGCGGUGCAAGGUGCGGGCCUAUGCGUCGCGUGUGGAGCUGGUUGAGGUGGCGGCGGGGAUCGAGGACGAGUUGAGGAGUCACAGGGUGAUUCCUAGUCCGUCGGCGCAACCGAAGAAGACCCAGCCGCAGUCGGUUCCGAGAAGAGGUGGUAAACCUGCUCAGGGACAGAAGAGGAAGUGGGAUGACACUUCUAGGGUGAGUCAGGGUGAUCGGAGGUGCUUCAGGUGUGGGAGCACGGAUCACAGGGUAGCGAGCUGUCCGAAGAAGGGCGAGCCGUGGGUGGAUACCCGUAUCAGUUAUCACUGCAGAGAGACGGGGCACAUCAAGACGAGGUGUCCUAAGUUGCAGCAGAUGACGGUAGCAGCGGUGCAGCCGGUGAUGCAGCCAGUGGUGCACCAGUGGGUGCCGCCAGGAUUGCAGCUGGGAGCACCGCCGGUGGCACAGAUCGAGGGAUCGAGGGGGUAUACGACCAUGGAGACAGGAGAGCCAAGCACUGGACGACCGAUCACAGGUUUAAUUCUAUGACUCAUUUAAAUCUAUGACUCAUUCUGUUUCCUUCCGUUGUUUUAGAAUUUUUGUUGUUUUCCUAUGAUGUUGGGGUGGGCAGUCUUAGUGAUUUUGUUGGUGGGCGGAUUCUUGUCCCACUUGAUGUUUGAUUCUGGAGCUAGGAAUAGCUUCAUUACCCCAGAGUGCGCGACGGGUGGUAACAUCCGAAGAGAUCCCGAUGGUUGUUAUGGAGCCGUUAGAGUCGCAGGAGGCGCUUUGCUAGCGGUUCAGGGGCGGGCUAGUGGUGUGGAUGUACAGAUUGCGUGAGAGUCAAUGCCGGGAGAUCUGUACAUUAGUCCGGUGGAGUUGUAUGAUGUAAUUCUGGGCAUGGAUUGGUUGGAGCGGCGCAGAGUUCAUCUGGAUUGUCACCGGGGGAGAGUAUACUUCGAACGUCCCGGACCGAAGAUGUAUUUCCAGGGUGUGAGACCGAUUUCGGAGAGUUUAGUGAUUUCAGCGAUUCAGGCGGAUAAGAUGAUCCGAAAGGGACGGGAAGCUUAUUUGGCUACGAUUGUCAUGCCAGAGACAGUCGAUGAGGUAGCAGUGGAUAAGAUCCGGGUGGUCCAGGAGUUCGAGGAUGUGUUUCAGACGUUAAAGGGGUUACCACCAUCUCGGUCUGAUCCCUUCACGAUUGAGUUGGAGCCCGGGACAACGCCGUUGUCUAAGGCUCCAUACCGGAUGGCUCCAGCAGAGAUGGCUGAGCUGAAGAAACAGUUGGAGGAUCUGCUGGGUAAGGGUUUCAUCCGUCCUAGUGUUUCACCGUGGGGAGCACCAGUGUUGUUCGUUAAGAAGAAGGAUGGGAGUUUCCGGCUGUGUAUCGAUUAUCGGGGACUUAACCGAGUCACGGUGAAGAAUAAUUAUCCUUUGCCGCGGAUUGACGAGUUGUUGGACCAGUUGAGGGGAGCUACGUGGUUUUCUAAGAUUGAUUUGGCGUCGGGUUACCAUCAGAUUCCUAUCGACGAGGCGGAUAUCCGUAAAACGGCGUUCAAGACGAGGUAUGGGCAUUAUGAGUUCGUGGUGAUGCCUUUCGGGUUGACUAAUGCACCAGCGGCGUUCAUGAGGCUGAUGAACAGCGUGUUCCAGGCGUUUGUAGAUGAGUUUGUUAUCAUCUUCAUUGAUGAUAUCCUGGUGUAUUCUAAGAGUCCUGAGGAGCACGAGGUACACUUGCGGGCAGUGUUGGAGAAGCUGCGGGAGCAGAAGCUGUAUGCUAAGCUGAGCAAGUGCAGUUUCUGGCAGAGAAAGAUAGGUUUUCUGGGUCAUAUUGUGUCUGCAGAGGGAGUUUCUGUGGAUCCAGAGAAGAUUGAGGCUAUCAGAGAUUGGCCUAGACCGCAGAAUGCCACAGAGAUACAGAGUUUUCUAGGAUUGGCGGGUUACUACAAACGGUUUGUGAAGGGCUUUGCCAGUACACUCAGCCAAUGACCAAGCUGACGGGGAAGGAUGUUCCUUUUGUGUGGACUCCUGAGUGUGAGCAGGGUUUCGCUCAACUCAAGGAGAUGUUGACGAGUACGCCAGUUUUGGCUUUACCGGAGCAGGGAGAGCAGUAUGUGGUGUACACGGACGCUUCGGGAGUUGGAUUGAGUUGUGUGUUGAUGCAGCAGGGUAAGGUGAUCGCCUAUGCUUCGCGGUAGUUGCGGAAGCAUGAGGGCAACUACUCUACUCAUGAUUUGGAGAUGGCAGCGGUGGUCUUUGCUCUGAAGAUUUGGAGAUCUUAUCUGUAUAGAGCGAAGGUUCAUGUGUUUACAGAUCAUAAGAGUCUGAAGUAUAUAUUCACGCAGCCUGAGUUGAACUUGAGGCAGAGGCGCUGGAUGGAGUUGGUUGCAGACUAUGAUUUGGAGAUAGCUUACCAUCCCGGUAAGGCUAAUCUGGUUGUAGAUGCUCUGAGCCGAAAGCGAGCGGCUUCAGCUCGAGGGCAGGGUAUGGAGACCUUGGUGGGAGAACUUAGCACCUUGCGGUUAUGUGCUAUUUCUCAGGAGCCACUAGGGUUAGAAGCUGCUAACCGAGCAGACCUUCUGACCAGAGUUCGAGCAGCUCAGGAGAAGGAUGCAGGGCUGGUUAAUGCUUCUAAGGAUACUGAGUCAGAGUAUCAGGUUGCAGCCAAUGGGACUAUCCUUGUGCAUGGGCGAGUUUGUGUGCCCAAGGAUGAGGAGUUGAGACGAGAGAUCUUGAGUGAGGAUCAUGCGAGUAGGUUCUCUAUUCAUCCAGGAGCGACCAAGAUGUACCGAGAUCUGAAGCGGUAUUAUCAUUGGGUCGGGAUGAAGAGGGACGUAGCUAAAUGGGUCUCUGAGUGCGAUGUAUGUCAGCUAGUGAAGGCUGAGCAUCAGGUGCCGAGUGGAUUAUUGCGAAGUCUCCCUAUUCCGGAGUGGAAAUGGGACAUGAUCACGAUGGAUUUCGUGGUAGGGUUGCCAAUGUCUCGGUUCAAGGAUGCCAUUUGGGUCAUUGUGGACCGUUUGACUAAGUCUGCACAUUUCUUGGCUAUCAAGAAAACCGAUGGAGCGGCAGUGCUAGCUAAGAAGUAUGUGCAGGAGAUUGUGAGACUUCAUGGAGUAGCGGCCAGUAUUGUGUCAGACCGGGAUUCGAAGUUCACUUCGGCGUUCUAGAAGGCUUUCCAGAAGGAGAUGGGUACUAAGGUGCAUUUAAGCACGGCUUACCACCCUUAGACGGACGGGCAGUCUGAGCGGACCAUCAGACACUUGAGGAUUUGUUGAGGAUGUGUGUGUUAGACUGGGGUGGUCAGUGGGCAGAUCACUUGAGCUUGGUUGAGUUUGCUUAUAAUAAUAGCUACCAGGCGAGUAUUGGGAUGGCUCCUUAUGAGACGUUGUAUGGGAGGCCAUGUCGGACACCUCUAUGCUGGACUCAAGUGGGGAGAGGAGCAUUUAUGGUGCGGAUUUUGUUCAGGAGACUUCAGAGAAGAUUCGGGUUCUGAAGCUGAACAUAAGAGAGGCGCAGGAUCGGCAAAAGUGUUAUGCUGAUAAGAGCCGUAAGGAGUUGGAGUUUGAGGUUGGAGAUAUGGUGUAUCUCAAGAUGGCGAUGUUGCGUGGUCCUAACAGGUCCCUUACCGAGACUAAGCUGAGUCCGAGGUUUAUGGGUCCUUUCAGGAUUGUGGAGCGGGUUGGACCAGUGGCUUAUCGGUUGGAGUUACCUGAGGUAAUGCAUGCAUUUCAUAAGGUAUUCCACGGGUCGAUGCUGAGGAAGUGUCUUCACAAGGAUGAUGAGGUGUUGGCUACGAUCCCGGCAGAUCUUCAGCCUAGUAUGACCUUGGAGGCGAGGCCAGUGAGGGUUCUCGAGAGGCGGGUAAAGGAACUUCGACGUAAAAAGAUUCCUUUGAUGAGAGUCCAGUGGGACUGUGAUGGAGUCUUGGAGGAGACUUGGGAGCUAGUGGCCAGGAUGAAGGCAAGAUUCCGGAAGUGGUUUGACAAGCAAGUCGAGCAGUAGACCGUUGGCUUGUUUUGUUUUGAGUUUUGAUUUGGUUGUAUCUCUUUUGUAUUUUCAUUUUUGGUGUAAUGAUUAUGACAUUGGAGAUUAAUAAGAUGAGUCUUUCUUGGAUUUGACUUGUUGUGUUAUGUGUAAGAGAAAUAUGUGCGAGUUUCUAAAAAUAGAAAGUGUCGGGUUUGACAGUUCUAUUUUUGGAAAGUCUCGGGGUGGUGGUUAGUAUAGCAUUGCGAUGCUAUAAGUGAACCACACGUGAGGUAUAUCAGAUCGAGAGUAGAGUCGGUUUAAUUCCGGUUGAUUUCCUAAACUGGUCGAUUUGUUUAAUUGAAUCAAAGAAGGUUUAAUUAAAGUCGGUUUAGGUAAAUUCUGGUUUAAUAAGAAUUAAACCAAAAACCCUAGUUUAAUAAAGAACGCUUCUUCUCUCUUUUGUUUUGUGGCUGUUGUUUCUAAGAGUUGAGUUGAGAAAAAGAGAAGGAGAAGUUUACUUGUGAGAAGGAGAGUGUUAGCUUUGCUUUGGUGUUUAAGGCGAGAGAAGCAGAUUCGUCACAUCUUGGUAAAAUAGAGUUCCGACGUAUCAAAUCUUAUCGAAAGGUAAUGAAUUUUGGUAAGUUUGUUCUUAAGGCGUGUACGUUGAUUCUCCUUUUUACGGAAGUGAAUUCGGAUUAAUACUCAGUGAGUUAUAUGCAGUUUGGUGAGACGCGUUUUCUAUGUUGCGAACUGGGAUCAGCGGAGUUUGUAAGUACGAUCGUAGUUUCAUCGUUUCUCCGAUCGGCACCAAAUUUUGUGGGGGGCUUUGUGACGUCUGGAUCUUGCUUUUCACCGUAGGGAUUAAGAAGUUAACGGUUAGUUUAUGCUUUAGGGCUUCGUUUCUGCGGUUGUAGUUUUUUUGCUGUUUCUGUCUUUUUGGUUUUUAGAGAUUUUUGUUUGUGUGGUUUGUUGUAGGGCGUUGUUUGGAUGUUGCAGUCGCGAGGAGAGUCUUUCCUGGUUGUUUUUGUAGUUCAAAUCACCUUGUUAAGGUGAGUGCGUGACCAUGAGCUUAUCUAAGCGAUUGGAUUGAGUGAUUUGUUGUGUGAUGAUUUGUAGGUAACUGGAUGUGUUAUUGGAUGUUUAGCUUGCUGGAUGGUUUGUUUUUGUCAUAUAUGUGGGUGUUAUCUCAUUGCUUGUGUAUAUAGCUCGUAGAUGGGAGGAUCGCCCUCACUAAGUAUUUAUGAAAUACUUACGCAUCUCUUUCUUUGAUGUAGGUAAAAGCAAAGUGUGAUCCGUGAAAUCAUGGCGAGGAGAGGAGGAUGAUCUAGGCACUCAUUGGUGUUUUAGAUUAUUGUUGGAUUUGUUAGGGUGUUAGAAUGGAAUUUAGAAACAUGUUAGGAUGACCAUGU